UGGGGGCCCCUCUUCCCGAGAAGGUAUUAUCCUGAGUUUGAGGUCUAUCAGUGCUGAGGCAAGGUAAGUUUACCAUGGGACAAGCAUUUAGUAAGCAGGAUUUAUUUAUUUCAGGACUUAAACAGUCUCUCAAGACACGAGGAACAAGGGUAAAAGGGAAAGAUUUAAAAAAGUUUCUUGAUUAUAUUGGGGACCUUUGUCCCU
rfam:Neotoma lepida isolate 417 scaffold_634, whole genome shotgun sequence.